CAUACAUCGUUCGUCUUAACUUUGUCUAAAAGGAAAACGGUUGGAACAACUCUGAUGAAGGUAGAGAAGAGUCAGUGGCUGGUGAAGUAAGAGGGAUACAGCUGUCUGCUGAUUCAAGGUCCCUGCCCCGUCGCCUCAACAUCCUCAAGAUCCUGUAGGCUACUGCUGCUGCUCCUUGCUUCAGCAACUUUCCCCUGAUGCCUGACACCCCUCAUCACCAAAUCAGCCCAGUCAACAUGGACCCAACAUGGACCCAAGUCUCCACCACAGUGUGCACAAUACACUAUACACAGACAGGGACGAGAACAAAGGUACAAUUGGUCUGAGGGGAGGACACCGCAGACAGCUGAUCAACUCCAUGUCAUCUAAUCAGGCCAUGUAAAGGACCAUGAAGGGAUGGACUUGGUGGAGGACAACAAUGUGACACCCGAAAAGAGUACAUGGAGAUCUCUCAUCCUCAUCCCUCAUGCUUAUAUUGCAUUUCAUAUAGGCCUAGAUUCUGAUGGUCUUGUAAAUGUUUGUUACACAAGUCAGAAAUUGUUGUCUUUGAUUAUUUAAUUUGAUUAUAAUAAAUGGAAAUAUAUUUUAUUGAAAAAUAUUUUUGAAAACCUAGCAAGUUUGUGUGUUUUAGUAUCAGAAUGAGCUUGUAUUGACCAAGUAUAUCUACAAGGAAUUUGACUGGCAUUAGCUGUUGGAACAAUUAGACAUACAGUAGUAUGCAGUCAGAAGAUGCAUACUAUAGAGCACCACAAUAUACAUAAGGCACCUACCAAUAGAUUGAGUGAUGGCAGUGGGAAAAAUGUGAUUAUUGUCUGGCAGGUUUUGUGCAUAAGGGUAAGUUAUUAUUUAACGGAAAAGUUUGAGGUCAAACUAAUGGUGACCUCCAUGUAGCUUUUGUAAUAAUAAUAACUUUAUAUAAUAAUAGCCUAACUUUAUGAUAAUAAUAUAUUUUUUAAAUAACAUGUGUUCAAUUAAAACUAUUUUCUUUUACUGUCCCAGAGUC